rnacentral:rRNA from 1 species
AGAGACAGCAGCAGCCACGGUAAUACGUAGGGUGCGAGCGUUAAUCGGAAUUACUGGGCGUAAAGCGUGCGCAGGCGGUUGUGUAAGACAGGUGUGAAAUCCCCGGGCUUAACCUGGGAACUGCGCUUGUGACUGCACAGCUAGAGUAUGGCAGAGGGGGGUGGAAUUCCACGUGUAGCAGUGAAAUGCGUAGAGAUGUGGAGGAACACCGAUGGCGAAGGCAGCCCCCUGGGCCAAUACUGACGCUCAUGCACGAAAGCGUGGGGAGCAAACAGGAUUAGAUACCCGCGUAGUCCCUGUCUCUUAUAC